GUGCUUGCUUCGGCAGCACAUAUACUAAGAUUGGAACAAUACAGAGAUUAGCAUGGUCCCUGCGCAAGGAUAACAUGCAAAUUCAUGAAGUGUUCCAUAUUUUU